CCUACGGGAGGCAGCAGUGGGGAAUAUUGGACAAUGGGGGCAACCCUGAUCCAGCCAUGCCGCGUGUGUGAAGAAGGCCCUCGGGUUGUAAAGCACUUUCAGCGAGGAAGAACGCCUGGUGGUUAAUACCGAUCAGGAAAGACAUCACUCACAGAAGAAGCACCGGCUAACUCCGUGCCAGCAGCCGCGGUAAUACGGAGGGUGCGAGCGUUAAUCGGAAUUACUGGGCGUAAAGCGCGCGUAGGUGGCUUGAUAAGCCGGUUGUGAAAGCCCCGGGCUCAACCUGGGAACUGCAUCCGGAACUGUCAGGCUAGAGUGCAGGAGAGGGAGGCAGAAUUCCCGGUGUAGCGGUGAAAUGCGUAGAGAUCGGGAGGAAUAUCAGUGGCGAAGGCGGCCUUCUGGACUGACACUGACGCUGAGGUGCGAAAGCGUGGGUAGCAAACAGGAUUAGAUACCCUUGUAGUC
rnacentral:rRNA from 1 species